UGCAGUCGAGNGNANGAUGAAGAAGCUUGCUUCUUCUGAUUUUNNNNNNNNNNUNNNGAGUAACACGUGGGCAACCUACCUUGUANNNNNNNNUAACUCCGGGAAACCGGGGCUAAUACCGAAUAAUCCAUUUUGCUUCAUGGCGAAAUGUUAAAAGGCGNNUUCGGCCGUCACUGCAAGAUGGGCCCGCGGCGCAUUAGCUAGUUGGUAAGGUAACGGCUUACCAAGGCGACGAUGCGUAGCCGACCUGAGAGGGUGAUCGGCCACACUGGGACUGAGACACGGCCCAGACUCCUACGGGAGGCAGCAGUAGGGAAUCUUCCACAAUGGACGAAAGUCUGAUGGAGCAACGCCGCGUGAGUGAAGAAGGUUUUCGGAUCGUAAAACUCUGUUGUAAGGGAAGAGCACGUACGAGAGUAACUGCUCGUACCUUGACGGUACCUUAUUAGAAAGCCACGGCUAACUACGUGCCAGCAGCCGCGGUAAUACGUAGGUGGCAAGCGUUGUCCGGAAUUAUUGGGCGUAAAGCGCGCGCAGGCGGUCCUUUAAGUCUGAUGUGAAAGCCCACGGCUCAACCGUGGNGGGUCAUUGNNAACUGGGGGACUUGAGUACAGAAGAGGAAAGCGGAAUUCCNAGUGUAGCNNNGAAAUGCGUAGAGAUUUG
rnacentral:rRNA from 1 species